rnacentral:rRNA from 1 species
GACAGAGGGUGCAAACGUUGUUCGGAAUUACUGGGCGUAAAGCGCGUGUAGGCUGCUUGGCAAGUCGGAUGUGAAAGCCCUGGGCUCAACCCAGGAAGUGCAUUCGAAACUGCCAAGCUGGAGUCCUGGAGAGGAAGGCGGAAUUCUCGGUGUAGAGGUGAAAUUCGUAGAUAUCGAGAGGAACACCGGUGGCGAAGGCGGCCUUCUGGACAGUGACUGACGCUGAGACGCGAAAGCGUGGGGAGCAAACAGG